rnacentral:rRNA from 1 species
AUUGAACGCUGGCGGCAUGCUUUACACAUGCAAGUCGAACGGUAACAGGCCGCAAGGUGCUGACGAGUGGCGAACGGGUGAGUAAUGCAUCGGAACGUGCCCAGUCGUGGGGGAUAACGCAGCGAAAGCUGCGCUAAUACCGCAUACGAUCUAUGGAUGAAAGCGGGGGACCGAAAGGCCUCGCGCGAUUGGAGCGGCCGAUGUCAGAUUAGGUAGUUGGUGGGGUAAAGGCUCACCAAGCCAACGAUCUGUAGCUGGUCAGAGAGGCCGACCAGCCAAACUGGGACUGAGACACGGCCCAGACUCCUACGGGGGGCAGCAGUGGGGAAUUUUGGACAAUGGGCGCAAGCCUGAUCCAGCAAUGCCGCGUGCAGGAAGAAGGCCUUCGGGUUGUAAACUGCUUUUGUACGGAACGAAACGGCUCUGGUUAAUACCUGGGGCUAAUGACGGUACCGUAAGAAUAAGCACCGGCUAACUACGUGCCAGCCGCCGCCGUAACAC